rnacentral:rRNA from 1 species
UACGUAGGUGGCAAGCGUUGUCCGGAUUUACUGGGCGUAAAGAGCGCGCAGGCGGCGUCGCAAGUCAGGCGUGAAAUCCCCGGGCUUAACCUGGGAACUGCACUUGAAACUACGAUGCUGGAGUAUGGCAGAGGGAGGUGGAAUUCCACGUGUAGCGGUGAAAUGCGUAGAGAUGUGGAGGAACACCGAUGGCGAAGGCAGCCUCCUGGGCCAAUACUGACGCUCAUGCACGAAAGCGUGGGGAGCAAACAGG